rnacentral:rRNA from 1 species
UACAGAGGUGGCAAGCGUUGUUCGGAAUUACUGGGCGUAAAGGGCGCGUAGGCGGCCUCCUAAGUCGGACGUGAAAGCCCCAGGCUUAACCUGGGAACUGCGUCUGAUACUGGGAGGCUUGGAUUCGGGAGAGGGAUGUGGAAUUCCAGGUGUAGCGGUGAAAUGCGUAGAUAUCUGGAGGAACACCGGUGGCGAAGGCGGCAUCCUGGACCGAGAUCGACGCUGAGGCGCGAAAGCUAGGGGAGCAAACGGGG